CAUACUUGAUGUUGAGCAUGGGAAGUGGAGAUGGUGGAGGGUCAGAGUUGGGGAGUGAGUAUGAAUUUCAUUAUGAGGAUGCGGAUGUCCAUAAUCUCCAGGAUGGAGAGUUUGGUAUAUUGGUAGGUGGCGAGUCUGAAGAAGAAGAAGAUGGAGAUGACGAUGAUGAAGAUGACGUAGAAGAUGAUGGAGAGGAGGAAAAUGAUGACGAUGAUGAAAUUGAUGCAUUUGAUGCACAGGAAAAUGACGUAGAGAUUGACCCUUCUGCUUACAAUGACGAC
rnacentral:lncRNA from 1 species